rnacentral:lncRNA from 1 species
GUAGAAGCAGGUGAUGUCAAGAGAAGAAGCUCAAAAGUAAGCCACCUACAUCAAUCCCCUGACACUCAAAAGCCUUUACCUGGUACGAGACUACGCAUCCUGCAAAGGGCAAGCCAAGUGUCACCUCCCAGGUGAAUCCUUCCUCCGUGGACAUCUGCCAGCAUCCAUUCCCCUGGUUCAGGACACAUCUAUUCCCCACUCGAAGUACAUAGGGUUCAAGGGAGGCCACAGGAGAGGUCAUGUGACCUAAGCCCGGACAAGGAGAAUGGCAUCACCCUGGACAUAAGGACUAGCUCAAAGAUGGACAUGUGGCACCGGCUGAACCAGAAUACCUUUUCUCCAGGGCUCCUCCACACUCAGAAAGAGCCAAUUUCAAGCUACCAGUAUGAUGUGACGGAACACAGAGUUGGGAAGAGAUGCUCAGUGCAGAUCACUAUAUAAUACGUCCCCACUACAGACAACAUAGAUGUAAAUGACUUCAAGAGUGUGGAUAACAGCAAAGGCAGAAAAACAAUUAGGAAGAGUCACAAGUCCUUAUGAGCCAGCUCCUGCACACCACUGGUACCAGGCCUUGUGAUGAAGUCUGAGGAUACAUGAAUAAAAUAUAGCCUCUGCCCACAAGAAACUCUCAGUCCCACAAUAGAGAGAGACACUAAAGAAAUUAUAGCAAACUGAAAAGUGCUAAGAGGAAGUCUCUACAAAACACCGAGAACACAAACAAGCCUGAGGGGAGAGUCAGGGGAGAAACUCAGAAAAUAUUUUGCAAAAGAUGCAACAUUUGAGCUGAGUUCCAAAGUAUUCUUAGAAAUGGAGAGAAAAGAGAGUGCAGGCAGAAAGAUAGACAUAUU